AUUGAACGCUGGCGGCGGGCCUAACACAUGCAAGUCGAGCGGAGCGGCGGACGGGUGAGUAAUGCCGAGGAAUCUGCCUGGUGGUGGGGGAUAACUUACGGAGACGGGCGCUAAUCACGCAUACUAUCAGAUGAGCCUAGGUUGGAGUAGCUAGUUGGUGGGGUAAAGGCCUACCAAGGCGACGAUCCGUAACUGGUCGGAGAGGUUGAUCCGUCACACUGGAACUGAGACACGGUCCAGACUCCUACGGUAGGCAGCAGUGGGGAAUAUUGGGCAAUGGGCGAAAGCCUGAUCCAGCCAUGCCGCGUGUGUGAAGAAGGUCUUCGGAUUGUAAAGCACUUUAAGUUGGGAGGCGUUACCAACAGAAUAAGCACCGGCUAACUUCGUGCCAGCCGCCGCGGUAAUUC
rnacentral:rRNA from 1 species